UAAAAAAGGAUUGACAGUGGAUCAUAUUUUGCGUCAAGGGACAAGAUAUCUAUGUUGAUCGAAAAGAAUAUACGAGAAAGAAGGGCGAGAAACUGGUCAUUACGAGCGAAUAGCUGCGUCGAAGUUGUGAGAACCGUGGUGCUGUGAGACGGUGUUAUUAAGCAAAAAUAUUACACCGUUUUCAGAGCAUUAACGAACAAGUUUUACAGGGGAACGUAAACCGUGGCCGGCUCAUAUAUUAAGCUGGUUUGAAUGUUCUAUGAACGAAUACGACAAAUCCAUGCUUCGGUUCUGACCUUCUUUGGCGCGACAGCGUGGGCGCAUUUACUUCAGACGGAAUUACAGUCUGCACUUACUCCAUCUUACCUCAGUCAUUUCAGUAUAAGUAACUGCAAUCGUGAACCGUGACCGUUGUAUCGUAUCAUCUGGUUUACGUAAUUAUACGUAUGAAUGCACCGUCUUGGAUCAAAAGGUAAUUCGCCCGGAAGUGAUUCUUACAUGAGCUUGGUGGUCCUUGAUGAUUACAGAAUUUAGAAUUCGUCGCAGCAGGAAGAAACUGGUUUUACCUGAAUCAUUUCACGGUUGGGAAAAUGGAUCGCACAUUAGCCAGGACACUGUUAGAAGUUGUCGAGUUAACUCGCAUGUUUUAUUAUAAAAAAAAAUAUAUUUCA
rnacentral:lncRNA from 1 species